rnacentral:rRNA from 1 species
ACGAACGCUGGCGGCGUGCUUAACACAUGCAAGUCGAGCGGUAAGGCCCUUUCGGGGUACGACGAGCGGCGAACGGGUGAGUAACACGUGGGUGACCUGCCCUCAGCUCUGGGAUAAGCCUGGGAAACCGGGUCUAAUACUGGAUAUGACUCCAUGACGCAUGUUGUGGGGUGGAAAGCCUUGUGCGGCUGAGGAUGGGCCCGCGGCCUAUCAGCUUGUUGGUGGGGUGAGGCCUACCAAGGCGACGACGGGUAGCCGGCCC